rnacentral:lncRNA from 1 species
AGCUGGGGGAGGGCAGGGUGGAGGGUCGGUCCCUGACCCGUCUCAGGAGCCUUGUUUCCAGUACUUGGUGCUUCAUGCUCUUCCCUCCUGCCAACAGCUCCGCUGUGAGCUCGGGCAGCCCUCCCCUCUGCAGAGGCUCCCUUUCAGCGGAUGGAGAAUUACCUCUGUUUUAAUGAACAGAAUGGCGAGUGCUUUCAGAGCUGAAAGGAAUUAAUUGCCAGAUUAACAUGGGCUGAGUUCUCUGCCUUAAGAAAAUAUUAAUAUGUUAAAAUAUUAAAUUGCAGGAGCCUCUAAUAGAAAGAAAGGAGCCUGCAGUGUAGGAAGGUAAAACAGGAGAUGUUUACAUAGUUUUAGUGUCUGAGAAUUUUGAGAACAGAUUGUACUUUUCAAUACUGUCAGGAUGUGAUUUACAGAUAUUCUGGUUUAGAAAUGUAAUGGAAAGUAUGUUUUAAGUGCUGGAGCAUCACUGUGGUGAAGACUGCUGUACUUCCCAGAGAAAAGGUCAGGUAAGUGAUGUUGGGCUCCUGUGGAGAGGACUUCAUUGUUCUUUUGUUUGGCCAGAAAUUUGGGGAAGAGAAUAUUUUUUUGUUCGGGCUUAAGUGCAACAUAAAUGUAGCUAAAUUUAUUCUGGGACCCAAAAUAGCCCAGAAGUGUAAGUGGUGGUGCAUUAUGCUGUGCAGAUACUUUUUAUCUCCCCUUAUAGAUCCCCCAGUAGCCUGAUAGACACCUGUGCUUCCACUGCAUAAAGCGGUCUGCUCCAGUAGCGUGGUCAUCUUGCUGGUUUUUAAGAGAUACAAAGCCACCAGAAGAGCUCCCUGAAGAGACUCAAACCACGCUGUAGGUGUGUAACUGACUGGCACCGGCUGCCCCCGCACCCUGCUGGGCUCCCGGCCCCGGGGCAAAGCCACCUUGUGCUUAGGAACAGGUGACGUGCUCUCACCCAAAGUUUAAACCUCAUGAUGCUGUCUGCUCUUGGAGGAUGGAGAGGAUUUAAUUCAGCAGCUCAAAGCCUGGGGCCGUGCGAGCCGGGUCGGGAGCUGUGUGCGAGGCAGAGGAGGGAGGGAGCCAGGCAGCUGAGGACGUGGAUUUGCAGACCCUGGACUGGCAAGGGAGCAGGACAAGUAAAAGUUCACCCUGGUUCCUCCCGUCCUGUGGGGCUCUGCAGCAUUUUGUGUGGCCACGGCAAAGACAGAGCGAUGCAGCAGCCGGGGAUGCUCGUCCCUCUGAUGCAGCGUGAUGCUGUGAAUGGCUCCCUCCCCUCCUGGUUUCAGGCCAGAGAAAUGCAGGAGGACCCAGCCCAGUGAAGAUGUUCCUGUGAUGCUGCUUCCACCCUGGUUAUGUCGUGGCACAGCCCUGCUCCCCCAGCCUGCCCAUCCGGCGAGCGGUG